AAUUGACCGUGGCAAGGUAGCAUAAUCAUUUGUCUUUUAAUUAAAGGCUUGUAUGAAUGGUUGGAUGAGAUAUAAUCUAUUUUUAUUUAAUUAAAAAUGAAUUUUAAUUUUUAGUAAAAAUGCUAAAAUAAAAAAUAUAGACGAGAAGACCCUAUAAAUCUUUAUUAUUUUUUUAUUAAUUUAUUAAUAGAAAAAAAAAUUUAUUAUUAGAAAAAUAAUUUUAUUGGGGUGAUAAUGAAAUUUAAUAAACUUUUAUUUUAUUUUAUAAAUAUAAUUAAUUUAAUGAUCCAUUUUUAAUGAUUAUAAAAUUAAGUUACUUUAGGGAUAACAGCGUAAUUAUUUUAAAGAGUUCAUAUCGAUAAAAUAGUUUGCGACCUCGAUGUUGAAUUAAGAGUAAGUUUAGGUGUAGAAGUA
rnacentral:rRNA from 1 species